rnacentral:misc_RNA from 1 species
GAUAGUUGACAGAAACAACAAAACCACCCUGUCAUCAAAGGGAAGAGACACUCUUCUGAUGAACAUUUAUAAUAGGAGAUAACUCAAGAAGGAUAUUUCCUUAUCAGUUUAUUUUUUCUGGUUUUACAUAUAGUUUUGCUAACUUCUCACAUCAGUUUCUCUCGAAAAACACUUACCAUGAAGAAAGGGAAGAGCUUAUAUACCAGAGUUAUCCAAGUGAAAAAUAUUAACAUGAAGUAACU